GUUUUAAUAAAUGUGUUGUUAUUUCAUUUCUAUUACUACUAACAUGAUUUUUUUAGUGAUGAGUGAUAAUGUAUUUUUAACGUUAUGUAUAUAUUUUAUCGUAUAUUUUCUAAAUCUUCAUGGUGGCACUUUUUUUGAAUCAUUUUAAUUAGAUAAUAGGUUUAAAUAUGUAAAUAAAACUGUGUAUGUUGUAAAUUUAGACUUUUUAGUGUAACUGAGCACUAUCACUUAUGAAAAUUAUAUUAUGAUUUUAUUUUACUAAAUCUUUCUUUCUGUGUAUAUUUUUUGUUUUAUUUUGUAUUUUUACAAUUAUAUUGUCUUAUUCUUUAAUUGCAGAGAAUUGAUAUUUCCAAUUUUUGUUUCAUAUACCUUAAAAGUAUUCGGUUUAUUUUUGUUUGUUUUUUUUUUCCAAUUACAAUGUACAUUUCGACCGUUUUUUGGAUCAAACUACUAAAAAGCUUAAACUCCAAGAAUGGAGUGAGAAUUUGUGCUAGAUAAAACUGAUUUAGCAACUAAUAUAGUGAGAUAUUAUAAUAUUAGAAAGUAUGAAAACUCUUUUAUGUUGUCCUACAGUGGACAUAAUUAAGUUGUUGUAAGACGUUAUAAAAGAAAAUUAAGUUGUUGUCAAUUGAUUCUAUAUUUGUGAUAACUAGAAAUACAUCUUUAUGUCUUCCUUACAAAAUUCUUAAUUGGUUUACAGUUCGACCAUUUCUAAUAUACUAAGAGUAACAUAAUAUUAGAUAUUGAUUAUCUCAUUCCAAUUAGGAAUGCACAGAAUGAGAGAAAUUCAAAGUGAGACCACUUUACAAUUUUGUCCUCAUAUCUAUAUAAAGGUAGUUUAUAGAUUACUCUACAUGUUUCAAAAUGUAAUCAGUUUUAAUUAAAAUCUGUAAUAUUUAAAAGUUAUUACUUUAGAAAACUGUCAUUUAAUAUAUAAUUUUAAUCAAUUACACCGUAAUUUACAUAAUUUAAUUGGACACACAAUAUCUAAUAAAUAAUUUAAUUUCUCUUGUUGAAGUCAAUAAUAUUUUAUCUUCGUGUCUAAUGUAAAUUUUCUUCACGGCAGAAAUAAUUAAACAAAAAGAUACUCAAUAAAAAUUAAAUCGUCUCACUUAAUUGCAGUAUCACAAUACUAAAAGAGAGAUUUCCUCAAAAUUUAGGCAUGCCACGUCAUCAAAAAUAUUCAACCAAUCAGAACAUUUUAUUUUUGUUUUGGGUCUCAGUACGUCUGGGCUUAGGUGUGUCGGUUUAUUUGGUUUCAUUUGGGUUUUCUUUUUCAUUUGCCUAAAUCUAGAAACCUAACAAUCUACGACUAGGAAGUCACGAGUCUCUUCUCCUCUACCACUUCGUCUUCUUGCCGUGAGUUCUGAUCCAUCCAUCAAUACUCCACAAUCAAUUUCUUCUUUAUGGUUUCGUUUCAUCUCCCUCUUUUCCUCCUUUAUAUACUGCUCUCUUUCCUGUGUACAAAUCAAAACCUUAAAACGCUCAAACAUCGAUCCAUCUUCAAAGGAAUAAUUAGGGUUUUCUUCUCAGCUUCAAACAAAUCUCAAAGUGACCUUUUAGAUUUCUGAUAUGCAGUUUAUCUCCUUCAACCUCUACAUCUCCCCAUCUUUAAUCACUCUCUUCCUUGAUCGAUUUAUCCCUACUUAUAUAUUAGAACUGUGUUGAUCGAUUAUAUAACUCUUGGUUUAAUUAUCAAAUCUGUUUAAAUCUGCAGAAUUCUGUGAUCCAAGGCUUCAUCCUUGCCGGUCUUGCGAAUCACUAUUGUCCAUCACUGCAGAAUUCCAUAAUGCAACAGGAAGUCAGAGAAAUCUGGAUUUCUCUCCGGUGCAACAAAUGUGUAAAUCUCCAUGUCACCGGUGUUAUCAGGUUUCGGGCUGAACUUGCUGUGGAUGAUGGAAAAUAUAGCGCUAUGUUUGUAGUCUUUGAAAGGAGAUGACAAAGCUGACCAAGCUGACCAAGCAAGAAGCUGCUGUCCUUACGCUUGAGGAGAUACCAAACGGUGGAUAUGAGGAGCUACCAAGCUGCCUUGGAGAGCUUGCUGGGAAGGAGUUUUUUUUCAAAUUCGUGUCACACAUUUUUCACCGUAUCUUCACUGUAUGAUCAACUAUCACUGAAGAUCUCAUCAUUGACAAUCAAGCUGUGAAGGCCACCAACAAAUUGCUUCCACUCAGUUAAGGGGAAGGUGGAUUGUUAAGAGCAUCAUCCAGCGAGGCUGUUGUUGCGGCCAAGCUAGGCAUGGGUGGUGACAUAGCAACCCCACCAGGGAUUGAGGAAGUGGAGAAAACCCGCAAGCGCCACCGUGAGUAAAAAGACCGUGUUAAUUCAAUCAGCUUGUCAACCCCACUUUCAUUCCGCUGUUUUAAAAUGACUCUCCUCUGUUUCGCUACCUUGAAUCUUUGUUUUUGUUUUGAAUUUUCUGCAACUAUUUAUCAUUUUUUUUUGUCUUGAAGCGUUAAUGAAGAGAUUAUAAUAUAUUUCAUCGUGUUGUUUAGUCCAUCCAUUAAAACAUGUUUACAAAGAAACACAUGAUACGUUAACACAACAUCAUCACUUGCGUUUUGAACAUUCUAGAUUUCUCACUUGGAAACUAAUUAGGGACCCUCUACCAUUUUAAAAUUUUGAAUGGCUCAGAGCUUAACCUAUAUAUCACUCUCUUCUGAUAUUUCUUUCUAUCAGUCUCUUUUGGUCCAGUUUCUUCUUCUUUGGCCGCAUGAUCAUUCCUAAAAAGAUGAUCAUUUAUUAAUUAUACGAAACUUAUCUAUAAAGUAAGAGACAAAGGAAACAUGCAGCCAAUAAGUAAGUGUGUGCGCCCAGGGCUUAAAUUAAAUAUCAUUAUCUUUAUCAAAUGGUAAAGAAAAACUUUGUAUCUUUUUGUUAUUGCCUCAUUUGGGACCCUCUACCGUUUUAAAAUUUUGAAAAUAAAUAUGGAUGACUGAAAUCGUACAGGAACUUAUGAUUUUAUAACUAACAAAAAUGAAAACACUCUCACAUUUAUUUGAAAAUAAAUACACAAACGUUCCACAUGUUCCAUAAUAUAUACUCCCUCCGUUUCCGAAAAAUAAAAUCAAUUCAAGAUUUUUGAAAAAAAAAGAAUCUAACACCUUCCCAAAUGUUUCAUUUAGAAACUUCUGCAGGGAUCACACAUAAAAGAAAAAGAGGACGUCUACUCGGAUCACGCAACAAACCAAAAGGUGUGUCAUUACUCUUAAAAUAUAGUAUUACCUUAUCCAAAAUCAUAAUAUUUUAAAUUAUGAAUGUAUUUCGUAGUCCACCAGAUAUGCGAUCCACCAACGUUUAAACCCAAGUUUAAUGAUUGUAAGUUUAAACAAAUUAUAAUAAUAUACUCUUCAUCGGUAUAUAUUCAUAAACUAAUUUAGUUAUCAAAUUUAAUCGUACGGGUGGCUGUGAUAAGUGUGACCUUUAUGGUAUAAGAUUCUUUUCAGCCUAAAAACAUUAUUGUUCCUCGAUGUCUUAUGCUUAUAUUCUCUUAAAUGGAUUGCUUACAAUUUAACCAGUGAGACAGAAAAAUGGACGAGGGAUGAGAAAAGCCAUCUUGCUAUCUAAGCGAACAGAAAUGAAUCAGAGUUAAAACUCCUUCCCUGAUGAUGAAUACCUUACUACUUCCAAGUACGUCUCCCUAUUCUAUUAAUUAAGUAAAUGGUUUCCUAUUACUAAGUUAUGUUCACUGAUUUAUUUCAAAAUAAAUUUCAGGUUCUCCAACUCAAGAAAAUCCCAUCACAUCUACCACCCUCUUCGUCAAAAAGUCCACCAUCUUAUUUUUGAUUUCCGCUUCUCUGUUUUAAGACUUCAGCAUUUUCCCUUAAUAAUGAUAAUGACUUUACUCUGCUUCUAAAUAUGAUUUAAAACAAACUUAAAUUUUAAAACUGAUCUACUGUACUUUGGACAACCAAAAAAGUUUGGUAAAUCAAACAAAUAACAGCUAAAACAUCAUCACAUAUGCGUUUGAGAUUAAAAUAAUAUAAGCUAACUCCAAAUUAUCGUAGAUUAUCAUCUAAAAAAAAGUUUAAAAGCACUUUCCGCGCGUAAAAAAUCUCAAACUACACAUAAAAAUAUACAAAUUAUAA